rnacentral:rRNA from 1 species
UACGUAGGGUGCGAGCGUUGUCCGGAAUUAUUGGGCGUAAAGGGCUCGUAGGCGGUUUGUCGCGUCGGGAGUGAAAUCCACUGGCUUAACUGGUGGCUUGCUUUCGAUACGGGCAGACUGGAGGUAUGCAGGGGAGAACGGAAUUCCUGGUGUAGCGGUGAAAUGCGCAGAUAUCAAGUGGAACACCAGUGGCGAAGGCGAGUCUCUGGACAUUCCUGACGCUGAGGCACGAAAGCCAGGGAGCGAACGGG